rnacentral:rRNA from 1 species
UACGUAGGGUGCAAGCGUUGUCCGGAAUUAUUGGGCGUAAAGAGCUCGUAGGCGGCUUGUCGCGUCGAUCGUGAAAACUUGGGGCUUAACCCUGAGCUUGCGGUCGAUACGGGCAUGACUGGAGUUCGGCAGGGGAGACUGGAAUUCCUGGUGUAGCGGUGAAAUGCGCAGAUAUCAGGAGGAACACCGGUGGCGAAGGCGGGUCUCUGGGCCGAUACUGACGCUGAGGAGCGAAAGCGUGGGGAGCGAACAGG